GUGGGUAGAGCUCAGUGGUAGAGCGCAUGCUUAACAUGCACGAGGUCCUGGGUUCAAAUCCUAGUACCUCCA
rnacentral:tRNA from 1 species